rnacentral:lncRNA from 1 species
CUCCGUAACCUAAUAUUUCCGACCAAGUCCCUGUCCACAGGUAAAAUACGCGCGCAGGACCCUCAGUAUUAGAAAUCUCGCAAUUCGAUCCAUAAAAUGUUAGGUUUCUCGCGAUAAAUUUCAAAUUGCAUUUUGACCCCUUUGCGUUCAAUUCACGAUUCCCGCCAAUCCGUCCAUCGGUUUAUCGAUCGGAUUGCGCCAGCGCGAUCGGCACGACUAGUGUAUCGAAUCUAGUAUUUUGUUUCAUCCGAUUUGGUUUCCGAUUCACGACGAAACCCACCCUCAUCGGAUUCAACUACAAAACCACAUAUAUUUCUAUAUGUAAACCGAUCAAACCCCUUUUUCUCGACAACCGUGCAUCAGAACUCAAAUCCGUCAGUGCCAUUGGUUCCAAAACAGCUGAACCGGUCGAAACGAGCUAUUGGACUAAUAUGAACGGAGUCCGAUACGCGCCAUAAGCCAACUCUACUCCGUGGCUUCUCCGGAAAAUCGGAGUUACUAUUCACUUAAGUGAAAACUAAAAGUCGCGUAUCUUCUCCAUUUUAGCUCAUUUUCGCCCGAAACUUGACGAGUGUUUAUGUAAUUAAAUUACACACAUAAACAUCAUCAACAGAGAGUUUAGUAGCACUGUCAAAAAUCUCAGUCCUUA